rnacentral:sRNA from 1 species
GGUAUACAUAAUGGUUAAAUAAAUUAUCUUUAACUAAAUAGAAUGUUUUAGAGGGAAAAAGACUAAGAAAGGACAAUGCCAUGUGGUGGUUUGUUGAACGAUCCAUGCCACGGGCCAAGGGAAUUCACACACCAUUCGUAAGGAAUUCCCCAACGUGUCUCUGUUUCAGAGAACCGUAACAUAACAAACAAGAGCAUAUAAUAACGUUAAAAUAGCACACUCAUUGAACCAAUCAACGUUGGAGGUAAAAGGAUAGCAGUAGUGAUAACAAUAAUUACGAAGAAUACUCACUGGUGUGUCAAUCACGCGCGUGUAAGCCAACACGCCGAUGAUGACCACGACGGGGAAGAGGAGAACCACCACGGAUCGCGGCAGAGCUUUUAUGACCGGCAACCAGAUUCCAUCCUUACUUGAAUGACGAAAAAGCCCCGAUCCACUGUCCUCUUGCAUCUGCGCGAUUACAGUGUCGUUGUUCUCUCUCCUUCUCUGUUUCUUUGCCUCUGUUUAUGUCUCUUUGCCACUUCACUCUCACCCUUUUGAAGUUCUGAGCUUCUUCUAAAUGGAAAGUUUCAAAGACGAAAACUUUGGAAUGAGUUUUCAAUUGGGUAGCUGAGUUUUGCCCAAUUGGAUGUAUUUCUGUGUUGCAAAAGUUGAAAAUCAAUGCACUCUUUCUCUGCGCCGAAGAAGAAGAACGAAAGAGAAAAUUGAAAAUGAGGGCAGCUAGAUGAAAGAUCAAAAGUGAGGGAAACGUGUAAAAAGUUUAAGAUUGGAGAGAAAGAGGAGCGAAUGUGGAUACAACAUGGAAAGGACAAAAGGCUAUGAAUCUCGUGAGUACACAGCUGUGUGGGAUUUUGUCUCAGUGAUUGUUAUAUAUACUGUUAUGAAUAAUGUGAAAGGAAAAUGGGGCAAACUAAGAAAAAGGGUCCUUAUAUGUAUAUCUUUCUUUGAUGGCCAC